rnacentral:rRNA from 1 species
AGAAGCGAGGCUGUGAAGCGGAGCAAAUCUCAAAAACCGGUCCCAGUUCGGAUUGUAGGCUGCAACUCGCCUACAUGAAGUCGGAGUUGCUAGUAGUCGCGGAUCAGAAUGCCGCGGUGAAUGCGUUCCCGGGUCUUGUACACACCGCCCGUCACACCAUGGAAGUUGGGGCGCCCGAAGUUGCCUAAGAAAUAAGGUACCUAAGGCGAAACCAAUGACGUGGGGUGAAGUCGUAACAAGGUAAC